rnacentral:rRNA from 1 species
AUGCCGGAGGGUGUAAAUGAUACAUCUAUUGUGUUAAUCCCCGAAGUUCCUCACCCCAAGGAGCUAAAGGAUUUCCGGCCAAUAAGUUUGUGCAAUGUGGUAUACAAUAUUGUGUCGAAGUGCAUGGUGAAUAGGUUGCGGCCGAUGCUUAAUGAACUCAUCUCAGAGAACCAGAGCGCUUUCAUCCCAGGGAGACUCAUCUCUGAUAAUUCUAUCAUUGCUUUCGAGUGUAUUCACCAUAUUCAAUCAGUGAAGGAGAACUCCCCGGCUUUGUGUGCUUAUAAACUGGAUCUCUCCAAGGCCUACGAUCGUGUGGACUGGGACUUUCUUCAGAAGGCCCUUGUGAAUUGGGGUUUCUUGGACAUCUGGAUUUCGAGAGUGAUGGCUUGUGUUACUUCUGUCAAAUACUCAGUAAAGUUUAAUGGCAAGUUACUGGAAUAA